rnacentral:lncRNA from 1 species
UUUGCAGAUCAUGAGGUGGGUUCUUGGAUGCCAGAGAUUUUUGCAUUGCCUGAAAAGUCCAUGCCUUGUCCUUCUCCAGAUCAUCCCCAAGAGGCUGUGACUACAAUGACCAGGGUUUAAUAGAGAAAACAGACACAUGGCACCUGAGCGUGGCUCCCAGAUCAUAUUGGCAAGUUUGGCCCUCAUUGUCCUCCUAUCGUUGAAUCUCACCCUCUCCCCAAGGCUCCGAGGUAAGAAGAGUUCAAAGAUGAGCUUCGCAGGCCAUCAGGAUCUGAAGAAGGCUUGAUAGCACUUCUCCGAGGUGGAGAGAGCAAGGGCCGGCUGGGAAGGUAGUUGAAAAAGACACCAGACUUCAUCCUGCUCAGAGAGAAGUCUAAGGGCCUUUCUUUCUGGACUGUGUUCCUGGAGACUUUGAAUCAUCCACAGGAAAAUUGGGAGCUCUUAGGAGGUAAUGCUGUAGUUGGAUCAAUCUUGAGAAAAAUAAAAGUGACUUUCUUUGUAUCUUAAGACUGAGGCACUACUAUAAUUAUUACAACUGAAAAAAAAAGAACUAUGAUGUCAAAAACGAUAAAAUCUAACUUUUAAGAAUUUGAGUGUCUUUUGUAUUAUUCUGCAGUAUUAUCUGAUCUAUGUAACAAUGUUAUCAAAAGGGAAAAGAACAAAAUUGAUCAAUGUUUUACAUAGUGGGAAGAUAUUAGACAUCUAAAGGAGGG